AGCCGCACCGGCGGAAACCGGCAAGGCAGGGCCGGGGCCCGGGGCUGCUGCUCCCCAGACCGCCGCGGGGCGGGGCGAGCGAUCCCUGUGAGGGGAAACUGAGUCUGAGGGCCGGGUCUGCGGCGCCACGGGCACUGUGCGCCCAGUUAACUGACACGCGUGUACGCAGCUCCUCCGCUUGCGGGGCUCCUGGCAUCUGGUGCAGCACCUGCGCGUGUUUAGUGCUCAGUAAGAUGCCCCCUGAAAAAACAAACACAAACCGGGAAUUGGAGCCCCCACCCUGGUCCCCUGCCUGCCCAAAAUCCGAGUAGUGAGAAGGUGAAGAGGAGUAAAACCGCAGUCUUACCUUUCUUGGAUUUCUCCAGAAGAUCCUAGCACAGUGCCAGGCUCGCCCAAGCUUAUUGGGUUGGAGCAAUCAAGUGAUAGUACUUGAUAGUACUUGAUCAAAAUGAUAGUACUAAGUGGUUCAAGGCACUGUGCUUUUACAAACUGGAUAUUUUAAGGAACCGUUUCUGUUUUCGUCUAAACACACACACACACGGUCGCUAAAUCCUUAAGAAUAUAUUAAUCAAAAUAGUUAUGGAACUUAGUGUUGGGGUAGAAUUUUAGAUUAAAAGCUACACCUUUAUUUUUGCGAACUACCAAUUUGACAAGGGCUCCUUCUCUGUCAGAUGUCUUAACCUUGUAGGACUGAUGGUGGAGGGAGGGAUGAAGCUGCCCACCUUGUUGGUUUGGUUUUAACAGCUCAAAAUCUCUUUAUGUGUUAGGGUCUUUUUUUUUUUGAGAUGGAGUUUGGCUCUUGUCACCCAGGCUGGAGUGCAAUGGCCCAAUCGCGGCUCACUGCAACCUCUGCCUCCCGGGUUCAAGUGAUUCUCCUGUUUCAGCCUCCUGAGUAGCUGGGCCCACCACCACGCCCACGACCACGCCUGGCUAAUUUUUGUAUUUUUAGUAGAGACGGGGGUCUCACCACGUUGGCUAGGCUGAUCUCGAUCUCCUGACUUCAGGUGAUCCUCCCACCUCGGCCUCCCAAAGUGCUGGGAUUACAGGCAUGAGCCACCGCGCCUGGCCUAGGGUCCCUUUUUAUGUCCUGACUCUCAACUGGAUUGUAAGAGCAGGGAACGAUCUUUUACUUGUUUUUUAACCUGGCAUGCCUGUAAGACUCUCACUUAUUGGAGGCAGAGCUGCUGUCCUCCAACUUCCGCUAGACAGGCGGAAGCUGCGGAACACAGGGUACUCUAGUGAAAGGGGGACCUCAGAGGCCCACCUGGGAGGGAGAUGCUGCUUGUGGACAAGCAGAAGAUCUCAGGGGCCUCUAAGAGAGAAUUUCUGCAAUCUAUGGGCAGGGGCCUCUAAGAGAGAAUUUCUGCAAUCUACGGGAGGUUGCCCAGAUGUAGCCUCUGUGGGGCCAUUCAAUUCUACGGGAAAAGGAUUCAAAGAGUUAAGUGUUUGAAUUAAAAAUUGAUGGACUCGGCCGGGCGCGAUGGCUCACGCCUGUAAUCCCAGCACUUUGGGAGGCCGAGGCGGGCGGAUCACAAGGUCAGAAAAUCGAGACCAUCCUGGCUAACACGGUGAAACCCCAUCUCUACUAAAAAUACAAAAAAUUAGCCGGGCGUGGUGGCGGGCGCCUGUAGUCCCAGCUACUCGGGAGGCUGAGGCAGGAGAAGGGCGUGAACCCGGGAGGCGGAGCUUGCAGUGAGCUGAGAUCGCUCCACUGCACUCCAGCCUGGGAGAGAGUGCGAGACUCCAUCUAGAAAAAUAAUAAUAAUAAUAAAAUAAUAAAUAAAUAAAUAAAAAUUGAUGGACUCUGAGUCAAUUAGUCUGAUAGUUUUCCCAUCAUCAGAAAACAUUUAAUUAUCUUUGACCUUGCCUUUUCCUGGGUGUUGUGAAGUUAGAAAUAACAUUCCAGCAAAAAUUUGGGAAGAAAUCUGGGGUUAUUUGUUGAAGGGAGUUUCUAAGUCUAGUGAUUUUCCCUAACUCAAUAGAUUUCCAGAUUUUAAGAAAAGAAACAAAGCACCUCUGAAGUUAUUUGAAUUCUAGGCACCAAGCAAUCCCUGGGGUUUUUCUAGUUGUUUAUGGGACUGGCCACUUUGAAGGCGCAAUGGGGAUUUCAAUUUCUGAUGGAAGUGCCAGUGACACUCAUGGUCAGGUGAUGUGGUUCAGGGGAAGAGCUUGGCAGAUGGAUCAGGGACAUGCUCUAAGAUGCCAGUGAUGAGGAAGACAUUGAUACUAGCCAGCUCACUGCCUCUCUUUGUCAUCUGUAGCUACCCAUGUGUCCUGUUCUAACAGACUGGUUUUUCUGUGUGGCAAUUCUUCCUUUCAUGGACUCUGGAAACAAAGACUCUUCCAAAGGUGGGCACACUGCACAAGGGCCUUUUGAAGAAAAGUUUCUCAAGGAUUUGGGGCCUAUAAAAGCCAUUCUCUUCUGUCCCACCCACCCCUUCCUCUCUGCCCUAAGCCAGUGUAAGUGAAAAGAGCAGGCAGUCUGACCUCACUCUCUUCAUGUGCCACAUCCUGUUUUCAGAUUAAUGAGCUCAUUUGCUGGAAAUUUACCAAGGGAAAUAGUUUAAUUUUGGAAAGUACCAAAAACUUAUCUGUAGUCAUUCAGCUUCAUUUGGGGGGCUCUUGAAAUGGAGGGGCAUCACCGGAGGACCUCUGAACGCCCAGGGAGCAGCAAGGCAACAGAAAUUGAAAGCGAGCCCAGUGAGGCUGAACCUGACUCAGAAAGGAAACAAAAUCUUUUGGAGGCCACUCAUGUCUACCCAGUUGAAUUUUUUUUUUUCUAAAAAUAACUUUAAAAAGAGAAAUAGUUUAUCUGGCCAAAGCCUCAUAUCUGGUGGUCUGACCAUGGAGCCAUGACUGAGGAACAAGAAAAUGAACACAGGGAAGCAGGCAGUGUUUGAGCCUCCACCCUCUACCUUCUUGUCCAUGUAUUAAUAUGUUUGGCUUGUUCUAAGAGGCACGGAAAGGCUUUCAGUCUCCAGUUUUGCCCCAAUCCCUUAGCAAUCCGACCCUUGACAUUGAAGUUGUCUGCCUAACCUAGUAGCCUUUGUGGCUCCUGCAGCCAGGGGGAUUCUAGAUGAUCACAGAUUUGCAAGCCAUUCUGCAUUGGAGAUGAUGAGAUGAUGGAGCACAAGUGAUGUGCACCCUAGACUUUGCCUCUAAGCAUCCAACCACCUCCUGGCCUGCACUGUUUCCCAGAGUAGAGAUUUAUCAUCCAUUCUAAGCAGAAUGAAUGGAACACGUAAGUGAAUCCAGCCGGCUAAAGGCAGCCAUUUGGGCAGGCUCCUGUUUGUCAACAGCCCUUAAAAUGUGGAGCCCAGAAUGGUUCUCACUCCCUCAACCCCAGUCAGCCCUUUGGUGCCUUCUUCUUAUUACCAGCAGCACGCCUUGUCUCUGUCAUACGGCUUGUGUUCAGUAAAAACAAUUAGUGAACAGCUUUUCUGUUAGCAUCAUUUUAAUCUGCUCUGAUAACUUCUGAUUCUUGAACCAAGAAAUUUAAUUAAACAGAUGAUUACAAGCUGUCAGCAACCUAUCAGAUUAGAAGACCAAAUGGUACUGGGUUCUUCAAUCCAAAUUCAGUAUGUCCCUUUGGCACAUUACACAGAACUGAUAUCAACAACAAAACAAAGAAAUAAAACAUGAUCUUAUAAAAAUGACAGCAUAACACGUGUACUUUUUGCUAUGGUCUGAUUAUUAAAAAUGUCCCAAAUUUCCUUCUGUUAAUCUCCAUCUUGGUUCUUAUUACACUUAUAAUAACUAGCAUUUUUAAAAACGUGCCUGUUUACAGGUUUUUUUCUUUCUACCACAGAAUUAUGAAUACACGAAAUUGUAGGAAUAUAUGAAAAUGUGUAUAGGAAUAUAUGAAAUUAGAUGAAUUAAAACCAUGAAAGUAAAGCUGUAUCUGAUUUCAUUGUUGUUUCCCCUGGCUUAGCAUGAUGCUAGUUACAUAGGAGACAUCACUAAAUAUUUAUUCAAUAAAUGACUAAUAUGCAAGAUGCUAUUAAUACAAAUUUUACUUAUGGUAACAAUAGUUAAUGAUGAUUUCCCCACCAUCAGAAAACAUUUAUUAAGUAUCUUCAACCUGGCCUUUUCCUGUGUGUUGUGAAGUUAGAAAUAGCAUUCUAGGAAAAAUUUGGAAAGAAAUCUGGGGUUGUUUGUUGAAGGGAGUUUCUAUGUCCAGUGAUUUUCUCUAUCCCAAGAGAUUUCCAGAUUUUAAGAAAAGAAACAAAGAACCUCUGAAGUUAUUUGAAUUGUAGGCACCAAGCAGUCCCUGGGGUUUUACUAAUUGGUUGUGCACUUUGAAGGCGCAAUGGGGAUUUCAGUUUCUGAUGGAAGUGCCAAUGACACUCGUGGUCAGGUAAUGUGGUUCAGGGGAAGAGCUUAGCAGAGGGACCCUUUGAUAGGGACAUGCUCUAAGAUGCCAAUGAUGAGGAAGACAUUGAUACUAGCCAGCCUACUGCCUUUCUUUGCCAUCUCUGGCUACCUAUGCGUCCUGUUCUAAGAGACUGGUUUUGCUGUGUGACAAUUCCUUCUUUCAUGGACUCUGGAAACAAAGACACUCCUAAAGGUGGACAUGCUGCCCCAGGGCCUUUUUCCGGGCUACGGAAUUAUUGCUCUUUCUUCACACUCACCUUUGGGAGGCUUGGGUUCCCUGGCCACUGGCUAGUACAGCACAAGAAUAACGCAGUGUUCGAACUCAACAGCUGUUAACAUCUGGCUGAGGAAGGAUACAGUAUGAAGGUUCCCAUCUCACUCUAUCUUGAGGACUCAGCCUGAGAGAGAAAAAUCAAGGAGUGGGGAAAGCUGUUACUCAGAAAUCAGAAGAUUUGCUUUGAUGUUGGAGGACUGUGGCGGAAAGUUCCUCCCAUCCUUGAACCUUAUUUUUCUUACCUGCAAAGUGG
rnacentral:lncRNA from 1 species